CCAACAGGGAUUGCCUUAGUAGCGGCGAGUGAAGCGGCAAAAGCUCAAAUUUGAAAUCUGGCACUUUCAGUGUCCGAGUUGUAAUUUGAAGAAGGUAUCUUUGGGUCUGGCUCUUGUCUAUGUUUCUUGGAACAGAACGUCACAGAGGGUGAGAAUCCCGUGCGAUGAGAUGUCCCAGACCUAUGUAAAGUUCCUUCGAAGAGUCGAGUUGUUUGGGAAUGCAGCUCUAAGUGGGUGGUAAAUUCCAUCUAAAGCUAAAUAUUGGCGAGAGACCGAUAGCGAACAAGUACAGUGAUGGAAAGAUGAAAAGAACUUUGAAAAGAGAGUGAAAAAGUACGUGAAAUUGUUGAAAGGGAAGGGCUUGAGAUCAGACUUGGUAUUUUGUAUGUUACUCUCUCGGGGGUGGCCUCUACAGUUUACCGGGCCAGCAUCAGUUUGAGCGGUAGGAUAAGUGCAAAGAAAUGUGGCACUGCUUCGGUAGUGUGUUAUAGUCUUUGUCGAUACUGCCAGCUUAGACUGAGGACUGCGGCUUCGGCCUAGGAUGUUGGCAUAAUGAUCUUAAGUCGCCCG
rnacentral:rRNA from 1 species